ACGGAGGGUGCAAGCGUUAUCCGGAAUCACUGGGUUUAAAGGGUGCGUAGGCGGCCUGAUAAGUCAGAGGUGAAAUACUGUCGCUCAACGAUAGCAUUGCCUUUGAUACUGUUAGGCUUGAAUCAGAAUGAGGUUAGCGGAAUGUGACAUGUAGCGGUGAAAUGCAUAGAUAUGUCAUGGAACACCGAUUGCGAAGGCAGCUGACUGGAACUUGAUUGACGCUGAGGCACGAAAGCGUGGGGAGCGAACAGG
rnacentral:rRNA from 1 species